UACGUAGGGUGCAAGCGUUAAUCGGAAUUACUGGGCGUAAAGCGUGCGCAGGCGGUGAUGUAAGACAGUUGUGAAAUCCCCGGGCUUAACCUGGGAAUGGCAUUUGGGACUGCAAGGCUGGAGUUUGGCAGAGGAGACUGGAAUUCCCGGUGUAGCAGUGAAAUGCGUAGAUAUCGGGAGGAAUACCGAUGGCGAAGGCAGGUCUCUGGGCUAUAACUGACGCUCAUGCACGAAAGCGUGGGGAGCAAACAGG
rnacentral:rRNA from 1 species